UACGGGAGGCAGCAGUGGGGAAUAUUGCACAAUGGGCGCAAGCCUGAUGCAGCCAUGCCGCGUGUAUGAAAAAGGCCUUCGGGUUGUAAAGUACUUUCAGUCGUGAGGAAGGUGUUAAGGUUAAUAACCUUAGCAAUUGACGUUAGCGACAGAAGAAGCACCGGCUAACUCCGUGCCAGCAGCCGCGGUAAUACGGAGGGUGCGAGCGUUAAUCGGAAUUACUGGGCGUAAAGGGCACGCAGGCGGUUAAUUAAGUUGGAUGUGAAAUCCCCGGGCUUAACCUGGGAAUGGCAUUCAAGCUGGUUAGCUAGAGUCUUGUAGAGGGGGUAGAAUUCCAUGUGUAGCGGUGAAAUGCGUAGAGAUGUGGAGGAAUACCGGUGGCGAAGGCGGCCCCGUGGACAAAGACUGACGCUCAUGUGCGAAAGCGUGGGGAGCAAACAGGGAUUAGAUACC
rnacentral:rRNA from 1 species